rnacentral:rRNA from 1 species
AUGAGGUCUGAAUAUCGUCUGCAUGUGGCAACUGUGAACAAAGCAAAUGCCAAACAGGACUGUCAUGUUUACAUACCCUUGACGCUUUUGGACAGUUUCAAAGAGGGGAUAACUGAAGCUCCCAUUCAGCUGAAAGCCCAUAGCAAUGACAUGAUAUACGUUGUCGGCGCAAGCAAGCAUGGUGACGAUCAAGUAAUCCUCCAAUCUGAGUUGAGUCAUUUUGUAGAUGGCCACCGCAUGCAAGACAACGACCUUCUCGUCUUUAGAAGCAAGGGGAAAGCCCAGCUCGAAGUUCUUGUCCUUGACCCGAGCGGUUGUGAGAAAACAUGGUUUGACACGGGAAACUCUUCAAACGUUUCCAGAGAAGGCCUUCAAACGUUUCCAGAGAAGGCCGUCGUGCACAGGCUCAGAACACGGCUUCAACGUCCUUCGGUUGGGCUAAAUCAGGAAGCAUGGAAUGUUUUUCAGGACUCCAAGCUCGUGAGUCGAAUGAAGCAGGUUUACAAGCUCCUAGGUCCAACAACUACAUAUCAACCCAAGCGACCCCUCUACAUAGCUAACAGAAAGAGAAAGUCGAAGAGAGGGUUCGAGCAAUUGGUUCCCAAUUUCCUGUGUUUGUUAAAGUGGUUAGCUCCAGUGAGGUUGUUACCAAAACUUCUCUGGUGA